GACGGACCUAGGUGAGGACAGGUAUUUCCUGCCCAAAUGUUGCAUUUCCCAAGACCACCCUGGCCUGCCACGCCCCCAUCUUGGGCCUAUAAAAACCCGAGGCGCCCUACCCCCAGCAGGUAGACACAAAAAGCGGCUGAGCAUUGUGAGGAACACGUCGGCAGAGGAAGAUACAAGCCACUGGUCAUCGAGGGCACACUGGCAGAAGAGCACGCCAACAGGCACUAGCAGGUCGACAAGCCGGGCCAUAGACUGGUGGAAUGACGCGAAGUUUUCCAGGGGAAAACCAUCUCCCUUCUGGCUCCCCCAUCUGCUAAGAGUUACUUCUACUCAAUAAGACCUUGUACUCAUUCUCUAAGCCCGUGUGUGCUCCAAUUCUCCUGGUACACCAAGACACCUCCAGAAAUCAAGCAUCCAAUACAACAACAAGCAAAUGCUCCAGGCAGUUACCAGAUUAAAG
rnacentral:lncRNA from 10 species